rnacentral:rRNA from 1 species
UACGUAGGUGGCAAGCGUUGUCCGGAAUUAUUGGGCGUAAAGCGCGCGCAGGUGGUUUCUUAAGUCUGAUGUGAAAGCCCACGGCUCAACCGUGGAGGGUCAUUGGAAACUGGGGAACUUGAGUGCAGAAGAGGAAAGUGGAAUUCCAAGUGUAGCGGUGAAAUGCGUAGAGAUUUGGAGGAACACCAGUGGCGAAGGCGACUUUCUGGUCUGUAACUGACACUGAGGCGCGAAAGCGUGGGGAGCAACAGG